rnacentral:lncRNA from 1 species
AUGUCAAGUCAUAGCAAUGAGAUUUUGCAAACAAGGGUCAAAUCUCCCCGCCCAGUCAGAGAAAGGCACCCCACAGAGAAAACAAUGCUCUGCCUUUUGCAGCAGGAAGGCCAGCUUAGGCAGAGGUUUAACAGAGCUUGGCAAAACCUGCCGACCAUAGCUGAUGCAAUAAGGGCAUCCCUUUGCCCAAAGGAAAAGGAAAUUCUUAGGCAAGAAUUUUUAAAGGCCUUCAAUAAUGGGAGUGCUAUUGCAGAAGAAAUAAUCUAUGUACUGAACAAAAUUAACACUCCAGAGUCUUUAGAUAGGGCUAAGGAAAUUUCUUUUAGCCUACAAGAAGAGAGGAGGCGCUACAGCGCAGUUCUAUUUGAACCAGAGCCCAGUUCCUUAUUCAAAGGUGCAGAAGAAAGGGUUCAAGGCUCCCCAUGUGUAAGCCUUAGAUCCAGUCUGCUCAAGAUUCCAUCUAAUGAUGCUAGCCUUAAAUCCAAGCAUUCAUCUAGGCAUAGCAGUUCCUCCCAAUCCACACACUCAUUCAUCAGUACUUCUUCCAAAGCAGCCCACUACAACAGAGAGGCUGUCCGUUUGAAAAUUAGAAAAGAGGUUUCAGAAGCAGAGGCGUCUGCAGAAAUGGCUAGGCAAGACUUUGCCUUCAAUGAAGAGGAACUCCUCCUUCAACAGGCUAAAGCCAAGCAGAAACUGCUUCUAGCUCAGGCUAGGGCCCAGCAAGAAGCUGAUCUAGCGCAGGCUAGGGCCCAACAAGAAGCUGACCUAGCGCAGGCUAGGGCCCAACAAGAAGCUGACCUAGCACAGGCCAGGGCCCAGAGAGAAAUAGAGCUUGCAAUGGCUGAAGCCAAGCAAGAUGAGCUGCAACGGGAUCUAGAUCUGCUUCAAGUAAAAAGAGACACAGCACAAAAGAUAGUCAGAGCUAACGUUCUAGCCAAAGCCCUAUCACAGGAACUAACCCAAGAAAACCUUAGUUUCCUGCCAACACAAGAGCCUACAGCAAAGGUUUCAGCACAUCUGCAACUGGAAUCACCUGUAGUGCAGAGUCAUAUCUCCUUUCGCCACCUUGAAGAUCGCUCACCUGUUCCAGUGUUCGCGACUUCAAGGCCAGCCCAUUCCUCAGAAGUACAGCAAAGCACGGCCGGGAGAGUGCCAUCAUCUCUGUCAGAGUCCAUCCCUGCACUUAGGCCUCAGAGAUACCACCUGUCUACUUGGGAACGAAAGGACGACGUCUUUCAACAACAUCCAGAUGUCCAUCCACAUUGGCAAGGCAUGGCCGGGAGUGAACCACCACAUUCAUCCCUGCAUACCAAGUCAAUUCUCCCAUCGCUGAAGAUGAAGGCUUCAGAGGUGCUGCCUGCCAGCAAUCUGCUGAACCCAGCAUCGCCUACCAUCGCAAAAAGAUGUGUUCAACCGAAGAACAUUGAGUUUGUCACGCCACAUCACACUCCUCAGAUGUACCCUUACACACUGGAGUCUCAAUUGGGUUCCCUCUUGAGAAAUCCAAGAAGAGACAUCAGAGACAAAGGCGUCCAGAAAUUCACUGACCGACCGGAUGACUACCUUCUGUGGAAAAUCACCUUCAUGAGGGCCAUUCGAGAUUUCAAGCAAGAAGCGGAUGAAGAACUGUCCCUUCUUAUGGCGUGGCUUGGACCCAGCUCAGCCGAGCAAGUAAAAAGACUUUAUGCUGCUCAUGUAGCAGACCCCCAAAGAGCUUUGUCCACAGCGUGGUCUCGCUUGGACCAGCGCUUCGGUGCGAGCACUGAGAUAGAAGCGUCCCUCAUGGAUCGACUCAACAGGUUCCCAUCACUGAAGAUGAAAGAUUGCAAACAGCUUUGGGACUUUAGUGAUCUUUUACUAGAGCUAGCUUCAGCCAAAGGAAAUCCAGAGCUGCCAGGUUUAGCAUGUCUGGACCAGCACACGUCACAGAGUGCCAUUCUCUGCAAACUUCCUUUUCCUCUUCGAGAAGCUUGGGGGAAACAGGUGUUCAAGUACAAAGAGGAGAAUGCAAAUGUAUACCCACCCUUCACCUUUUUGGUGGAUUUCGUCACUAGAGCAGCCCGUGAGAGGAAUGACCCUCAAACAGGUCUUCUCGCUUUGUACCAAGACCUAAAGCCUGAAAAGACCUCCAAAGAAGACAAAACCCAGGGCAAAGAUCUUAGAAGGAACCUGAGUGUCAAGAUGACAGACGCAACUCCUGCAACUUCUGCUCAACCAGUCAGCAACAACACCAUAUCCUGUCCCAUUCAUCAAAGGCCACACAGCGUAGCUGAAUGCAGAGAGUUCGCAAAGAAGCCUUACAAAGAACGACUCCAAAUAGUUCAAAAGGCCAAGGUGUGCUUUAGAUGCUGCGGCGCCACUAUUCACUUCUCCAAAGACUGCAAAGAAAAGGUUAAAUGCCAACACUGCAACAGCAUCAAGCAUUGCUCUGCAAUGCACAACUUCGAUUCCCCUCAAUUCAAAGCAAAGUCAAAUUCUCCUACCAAAGAAGAAACCAAAGAAGACCAAAAGCCUACAGAACCUCAGGUAGCCCUCAAGGCUCCUGCGGUUCUGUAG